rnacentral:rRNA from 1 species
CCUACGGGAGGCAGCAGUCGAGAAUCAUUCACAAUGGGGGAAACCCUGAUGGUGCGACGCCGCGUGGGGGAAUGAAGGUCUUCGGAUUGUAAACCCCUGUCAUGUGGGAGCAAAUUAAAAAGAUAGUACCACAAGAGGAAGAGACGGCUAACUCUGUGCCAGCAGCCGCGGUAAUACAGAGGUCUCAAGCGUUGUUCGGAAUCACUGGGCGUAAGGCGUGCGUAGGCUGUUUCGUAAGUCGUGUGUGAAAGGCGCGGGCUCAACCCGCGGACGGCACAUGAUACUGCGAGACUAGAGUAAUGGAGGGGGAACCGGAAUUCUCGGUGUAGCAGUGAAAUGCGUAGAUAUCGAGAGGAACACUCGUGGCGAAGGCGGGUGCCUGGACAUUAACUGACGCUGAGGCACGAAGGCCAGGGGAGCGAAAGGGAUUAGAUACCCUUGUAGUC